GACGAACGCUGGCGGCGUGCCUAAUACAUGCAAGUAGAACGCAGUUGCGAACGGGUGAGUAACGCAUAGGUAACUGCCUCAUAGCGGGGGAUAACUAUUGGAAACGAUAGCUAAUACCGCAUACUGUGAGAUGGACCUGCGUUGUAUUGGCUAGUUGGUGAGGUAAAGGCUCACCAAGGCGACGAUACAUAGCCGAACUGAGAGGGCGAUCGGGCACACCGGGACGUAGACACUGCCCAGAACCCUCCGGGAGGCAGCAGUAGGGAAUAUUCGGCAAUGGACGGAAGGCUGAACGAGCAACGCCGGGGGAGUGAAGAAGGUUUUCGGAUCGUAAAGCUCUGGUGUUAGAGAAGCGGUAACUAAACAGAAAGGGACGGCUAACUACGUGCCAGCAGCCGCGGUAAUUC
rnacentral:rRNA from 1 species